AACGAACGCUGGCGGCAUGCCUAACACAUGCAAGUCGAACGGGACCUUCCUGCCUAUGUGCGCACGUGGGCUUACCGCGGGGGAACUUGCCCGUAGGUUCGGAAUAACUCCCCGAAAGGGAUCCUAAUACCGGUUAAGCUCUUCGGACCAAAGAUGUAUCGCUGUUGGAUGGGGGCUCGUUGGUUUCGCCGGUUGGUAGGGUAAUAGCAUAGCAAGGCGACGAUGCAUAGCUGGUCGGGGAGGAUGAUCAGCCAGAAUGGGACUGAGACACGGCCCAGAAUCCGACGGGAGGCAGCAGUGGGGAAUAUUAGAGAAGGGGCGCAGGCGUGAUCAAGCAAUGCCGCGUGAGUGAUGAAGGCCUUAGGGUUGUAAAGCUCUUUUACCCGGGAUGAUAAUGACAGUACCGGGAGAAGAAGCUCCGGCUAACUCCGUG
rnacentral:rRNA from 1 species